rnacentral:rRNA from 1 species
AAUCAACGCUGGCGGCGUGCCUCAGACAUGCAAGACGAACGAUUAAGACUUCCUUCGGGAAGUGUAUAAAGUGGCGCACGGGUGAGUAACACGUAAGUAAUCUACCCUCGAGUGGGGAAUAACGUUCGGAAACGAACGCUAAUACCGCAUAAUGCAGCGGCAUCGCAAGAUGACAGUUGGUAAAGGAGUAAUUCGCUUGAGGAGGAGCUUGCGGCAGAUUAGCUAGUUGGUAAGGUAACGGCUUACCAAGGCUACGAUCUGUAUCCGGUCUAAGAGGACGGUCGGACACACUGACACUGAAUAACGGGUCAGACUCCUACGGGAGGCAGCAGUCGGGAAUUUUGGGCAAUGGGCGAAAGCCUGACCCAGCAACGCCGCGUGAAGGAUGAAGUAUUUCGGUAUGUAAACUUCGAAAGAAUGGGAAGAAUAAAUGACGGUACCAUUUAUAAGCUCCGGCUAACUACGUGCCAGCCGCCGCAGUAACAC